UUCUUCAGACAAAAAAAAUAAAAAAAUAAAAAAAUAAAAAAUUGCAGCUCUUAGAACGAUCGUCUCCCACAACCGCACACCUCACGUUCCCAACUUAGCAACAGGCCACCGGAGAAUUCAGUAGUCACCUCACUACCGGAGCACACUGCACGCCGCUCAGAUCGUCACCAGCACAGCACCCACCGAAGUAGCGCCGAUCUCCCGCUGCACACGUCGACGGCAACCCACACUCGGUCAGAGCAACCCAACCACCAGAGGCAGCACUACAGGAAUUUGUUUUUUGGGGACGUUUGAUGGGAGGUAUUUGACAUAUUGAUACUUUAGAAAAUAGAAUGGUGUAUUUGUUUUUGUCAGAGCCCAAAUGGGAUGAGAAUGGAGAUGGUAGCUCUGCCAGUAUUAGAAUAUCUCUCUUGAAUAAGCUGGAAUCAGUUAUUUGGUCAUUGAUGACGUCUGGAGGCCGGUCAGAGGCUCGACUAUGGCUUUGUAACACUAUAGCAGGCAUAAGGUCUAUCACUUCCCACCAUCAGUGUGAGUUAUUUGUGAGCUUAUUGAGAUCUAAACCACUAAAGCGGGCUUUGGCAUGUCAACUCCUGCAAAUGAUAUUUGAAAAAAGACCACAGAAAGUGGGGCCCAUCAUAGCCAAGAAAAGCUGCAUACUUGAGAAAUUCUUUGAAGGAAAUCCAAGACGUAUAUUGCAAUGGUUUUCUAAUUUUGCUACUGGUGGUGGACUGGAGCACGGAAAAGGUGCUAAGGCGUUAUCCCAAUUUGCUUUUGUAAAUCGGGAUAUCUGUUGGGAGGAGCUUGAAUGGAAGGGAAAACAUGGUCAGUCACCUGCAAUGGUUGCUACCAAGCCCCAUUACUUUCUAAAUUUGGAUGUCCAACAAACUGUUGAGAAUUUCCUUGACAAUGUGCCCGAAUUUUGGUCAUCGAAUGAGUUUGCUGAGUCACUAAAAGAUGGUGAGAUUUUGUUCAUUGAUAGAGAAUUUUUUGUAGAAUAUUUUAUUGAUUUGAUGUAUAAAGAGGAUUCAAGAGAUGUAUGGGGAGUCAUAAACGAGUUCCUAAUUGAGGAAUCUUUCUCUUCUUUGUGUCACCACCUUCUUAUUACUCUUGAGGAGAAGGACUUGCAUAAUGUUCUGGACUUGCUUUGCAAACUUCUCAACCCAAGAAUGGAACCUAGGGAUUUUUGUAAUUCAUCUUACUUGUUUGAGGUUAUACUUUCUAAGUGCAGUGACUGUGGAUCUAUUGAUCAGAUGCUACUGUUAAAUGCGGUUAUUAAUCAGGGACGCAAACUUCUACGGGUUCUACGUGAUGAAGAGGGCCAGGAGGAACAUGUAAAAAUCAAAGACCUUAUGUCACAGAUUUGCGCAAUAUCAAGCAAUGCUAAUAGCUUGGUGCCCAUCUUUAUGAAGUGCUUCAAAACAAAGACCAUUAAAGCAAUAACAUGGCUGGGGCUUCAGUCUUGGGUUCUUUAUUAUAGAUUGUCAGAGGAGUUCCAGACCCCUGAUUCCUGGGAAUCAUUAUUCAUGGAUAAUGGUAUAGGUUUUCGGACAUCUAAUAAGUAUAAAUUGCUACAUCAUGAUGGAUUGUCAGAAGAAAGUGGUUCUGAUUCCGAUCAUAAAUCAUCAAAAAGAGUUAAGCCCAGGAAGAAAGAAAAAAGAAGAAAGAGAAGAAGAAAAAACAUCGAUCAUGAUGAUAGCUAUGACAAUGAGCUGCCAUAUUUUGAUACUAAAAGUAUGACGCUGGGUUUGCAAGCUAAUGCCGGGAAUUGGUUGCUCUCUACUGAUGGAUUUUCUGUAUCUUGGAGCAGUGCGGACUUACCAGAACAUCUUUCUAAGCAUUGCUUCUCCACAUGGAUGAAAUGGGUUUUUUGCAAAGUUGGCAUGAAGCCUGCUUGAUUGGGUCAAUACAGAAAUAUUUGCCAUAUUCUCCAUCGGCCCGAAAGCUAGCAAACAUCUGUAAAGAGUUAGAAGUUUUGUUUUCCAAUUGUUUUAACCUUUUCAUAGAUAUGUACGAAGAGGUGGUUUGCUCAGUUAUAACGAUAGGUUAAUCGCUUUCGUUGAUUCUAACAAAAUGGAGUUUCUUUGAAGAUUGAAAAACGACUUACGGUGUCAGUAUGUUGGUUGAAGGAAGAGUAAUAUGCUCAGCGAAGAGGCUCUCAGAAAUGCUGCUACAUUCAGUAAGGCAGAGUAAAGCACUAUGGGAAGGUUGCCACUUUUAUUUUGCUGGGAGGCUCAGUUGCUUUAGACAAUCCUAUUUUCUAUUCAACUCCUCAAACACCCUAUCUUAGGCAAAUCAAAAAAGAAAAGGCAAGGACUAGGGUUGAAGCACAUAUUGGCUUUCUGAUGUGGUCGCUCAAAACCAAAUCCCAGUCUAGCCAAGACCCGUGGCCCUAGCUUUUUCUCAUUCACAGUGGUAACAGUAGAAGCCAAGGCCAACAACAACUAGCUAAGCCAAUGUUCCAUGACUUUCUUGGCAUGAAGAAGCCCACCGAUUAGCCUGUGGGUUUUGUCCUCAAAGCUGUGGACUCGCCUUCGGCCUCACUGUCUCUUGGAGCUUCCGCUGGUGGUGCCCAGCGGCUCAUCUCCACCGCCUCUGAUCUGGGUUCCGACUAGUCACUCACACCACCUCUGCUUCACUUUACUCUUCUGCAGUCAGAUUUGGCGCACAUCCACGAUAACAAGAAAGACCAUCGUCCAACUCAUCUACAGCAUCGUCACCCAUGCUCAGAUUCCCCAUAAUAUUAUCGAUUCUCUAUUUCCUCAUCAAGAAUCGAUUCCGCAUUGAAUUCCUCCUUGUACCCAUUGCACAAUACCAAAGAAUUCGCUUGGAA